ensembl:lncRNA
AUGUUACAGGAAGCUGUAAGGCGCCUUCACAAUUCGGAAAACAACCCACAUAAAUAUGAUCCACAAACUGGAAUAAGUUCGCCUCGUAACCAAUCAGUCAUGACUUAUCUGCUAGAGGAAUUGAAAACAACUUUUGCAGAUGCAGACCCUGAGUGUAUACAAGCGUGUUGCAAGACAUACUUUGAAACACUUUGGAGAAAGUACAAUUUGUCUCAGCCAGAAAAGUCCCAGCUAAGAGAUGCCAUUAAAACAUGAGCUAAAAACCGACAAAGGAAAAGACGGGUAAGUGUAGAAAUUCAUCAUCUUGUCUUUAAAGGGAUAGUUCACCCCAAAUUGAAAAUUCUGUUAUUUUCUUCUGAUAACCACAAAAGAAAAUAUUUUUAGGAAUGUUUGAAAUCAAACUGAUCAUGAGCUCCAAUCACUUCCAUAGUAUUUUUUUUUUCUACUUUAAAGUCAAUGGGGCUCAUGAUUGGUUGGAUUAUAAACAUUCCAUCUAAUGUGGUUAUCAGAACCAAGACAUUUACAGGUUUGUAACAACAUGAAAGUGAGUACAUUGACAGAAUUUUCAUUUUUGAGUGAACUAUUCCUUUAAGUUUGAUACAUUUUUGGGUGUUUUUAGUGGUUAACACAUUGUGUGUUUUGCAGUUGCUGGAUUCCAGGUCCAAGGUUGUUCAAACCGAUGCAGAGAGAGAGCUUUGGCAGACUGAAACAGUGGAGCUGAUGUCUGACGAGGAGGAUGCCAUUGUUGAUGGAAGGCCAGUGUGGAUUGUGAGGUCUCCAUCUCACAGGAACCCACAAUUGUCAGAACUUUGUGAGGAGCUUCAGCGCAGAUUGGAGGCAGACAUGCGCUACACUAUUUUGCAUCAUCAGCGUGUUAAGGCUGAUGGAAAUGGACAUGGACAUGAUGGACCUUCCUUUCUUCAACUUUAACUAAACUGCACUGGUUUUGCAAUUUUAAUAAUUGCACCACAAACUGCACAUUUUCACUUAUUCUCUUCUAUUUUAUCUUAUUCUUUGUAUACUUAUUAGGUUAGAUUUAUUUAGUUUCAUAUUCUGCAACUUAUUUUCUUUUAAUAUUGUUUGUGUUUGCUGUGUUUGGUUACAUUUUAAAUACUUUGUGCUGUGUGUACAUAUUAAGUAGUUUAUUUAGUUUUAUAUUCUCUAACUGUUAUAAUAUUGCUUGUGUUUAGUAAAAUUUUAUAAAAGUACUUUGCUUUGUGUACAUAUUAUUUUGUUUUAUAUUUUGUAACUGUUAUAAUAUUGCUUGUGUUUGGUUAAAUUUUAUAAAAGUACUUUUUCCCCUGUACAGUUCCUAUAGUUUAAUUUAUAUAUUUAAUGCUUUAUUUAUAUAUUUAAUGCUUUAAGGGUUUUGGUUUAAUUUUAAUAAAAAGAAAUUCUGAAUCCA